AGAACCCUUCUCGCCGCCUUCCUCAACCACGAACCCAGUCAGCUCCUGCCGCGGCGGCGAAUCCCCUACUCUGUUUUCUCCGAUGGCCACCAAAUCCCACAAGAAGAAGCCUUCUGCCGCCAACCCUCCUAUUAACCCCAAAGCCGCCUCUUCCGACAAGAAACCCAAGCCCCCGAAGCCCACCGAGGACCAGCCGGUGCAGGCGGCGGCGGAAAAGAAACCGAAGAAGCAGAAGGCAAGGGACGAGAUCGAUGAGAUCUUCAGCGCCGCCAAGGCGAGCAAGAAGCGGAAGCCGGCGCAGCUGGAGGAGGCUGAGGCCCAUGGGGGCAAGAGGAAGAAGCCCAAGGAGAAGGCGGAGGGCGGCAGCAGCAAGAAGAAGAUCAACAAGACACCGGGGAGUAAGGGUAAGGGGCGGGUGGCGGACGACGACGACGAGUUCGAGGAGAAGAGACCGCGGCGGCGAACGGCGGACGGGCUCGCCAUAUACUCGGCCGACGAGCUCGGGUUUGGCAAGGCAGAUGCCGGCGGCACCGCGCUAUGCCCCUUCGACUGCGACUGCUGCUUCUGAGCUCGUGGGCUGCCUCUUCUAUGCCGGAGGCUUUGUGUACCAAUGGCUGGAGACAUGAUUUAAUUGACUUCCUGGAAAAAUGGUGUGUUGGAGUUAGCAUGGAUGGCCUGAAUGCCUGAAUUGGGUGUCCACUGAUUGCUUUGACGCAACAGAUAUCUGAGACCUAGAGGACACCUAAAAUGACCAUCUUAGCCCUUGGAGCAUACCUGAGACAGAGCAACACAUAAAUAGUUCAUCACAAACAUCCGACCAGGAAUUACCCUAAUGGUUUGUUUGAUCGUGCUCCAUAAGAUCGCAGUGAUCAUUAGAGAUGGCGUAUCGGUUACUAAGGCACAACAUUCUUGUAUGGUUAUAGUCGGGCCAUGAACGUCGUCUCCAUCCCCAAAUCGAGUUAUCCACCUUCUCUCAUCAAAAGAUCGGGAUUCAACCCCACAUGUUCACAUCACAAGAUCAGGAAGCACUCUGCUAUGACAAAAGCAAUUUAAUUGGCACCGCUAGCUAUCUCCUGCACCUCGAAAAACAAGGUGAUAUGUCUGAAAACUGCACUCGAGUUGAAAAUGCGAUUACAAAGGGAAGAGUUGCCGGUAGGCUCCCUUUCGAGACUCUUCCAUUGAAUUCUCCUUUUGGUACCUGCUCGCUUGAUUGUAACUGGCUGCUACUAGGCUAACUGAUACUAUUGCUGCAACUGACUUGGUGAUCAAGUUGGAAGAUAAGCUGAACGGAACAAUCUUGCAGUAAUAAGUUAUGUGGAAAUUAGAUAUGUAUUCUUCAUAUGAUUUUCAGAGCAAAUAUCUGUACCAAAUG